rnacentral:misc_RNA from 1 species
CACUCUGAACGAUUUUGGGUUAAGUUGACACAUCCAAAACGUGAAAAUAUAUUUCUUCUCUUUAUUGUCUUUCUAGUGCAAAUGCUUUGCUGAAAAUUAUAAUCAAUCUUAACAAUUCUCAAUCUGAAUGUUUUGUGGAACCUUAAUGCAUCUAAAUUAUAUGCAUUUUCAACCUUUCCUUUGACUAUAUAUCUGUUCAAUUCUUUUGUAAUUCAGUAUUUUUAUUAAAAAUAGGGAUUAUGAAGGAGACGGUUGUAUUUGCUAUUUAUGCUAGAAUGUGACUGCCAAGAAAUGGUAUUGCCUAAAGUUGGACGAGGAUAGGAAUAAAAUUGGUAUAAAUUAAUUGGAUGCAAGCCUUAUCCAGAAUAAUUGGAUGUUAAGCGCUUGUAAGUGGCUUUUUAAGUCCACUUUCAAAUCAUAGGGCUCAACCCUAGAUUGGCGGUGUAAACUGCCAAGCCGGAUUAUAGUAGGGGAAGAGGGAAUUUCCAGUGGAGCAGUGAAAUGCGUAGAGAUUGGAAAAAACAGUAACAGUGAAAGUGUUUACAUUCCUUAACAGGAAAAUUAGAGUGCUUGAAAUAAUUAGGGGCUCUUGUGAAGGUGAAUAUAUAAAUUUAACCCGCCAAAUAGCAUUUUUAAAAAAGACACAAUAAAAUCUUGUUUAUACCUCUUUGAAUUUUGUGAUUGUCUUGAGUUCUUAUCUUGAAUGGCUGGACAAAGGGAAGGGAAUAUUUGUUAGAUUUUUACCUUCUCAUGCACGUUGCUUCUCUGUGCGGCAUAUUUUGUUGCAGAAAAGUAAAGAGAGGGAGACUCUGAGCCCUUUAUUCAAGUUUUUACCCUUGUUGACAAUAUCCGUUAUCGUUAGUGACUCAGUUGCCCGAUAAUCCUGAAAAGCGUCGAAGACAUGGUUGCCGUUAUAACUGUGUGGAGAGAUUUACAUCUGAGAUAAAAGUAAAAUACCCUUUCUGGAACUAAAUUUUAUUAGGGAAAUUUACAAUUUGGUGUUGGAUUUUAUAUAUUACAUUGUGGUUCCUAAAUUUUGAAAAA